rnacentral:rRNA from 1 species
GCUCAGGAUGAACGCUAGCUACAGGCUUAACACAUGCAAGUCGAGGGGCAGCAUGGUCUUAGCUUGCUAAGGCCGAUGGCGACCGGCGCACGGGUGAGUAACACGUAUCCAACCUGCCGUCUACUCUUGGACAGCCUUCUGAAAGGAAGAUUAAUACAAGAUGGCAUCAUGAGUCCGCAUGUUCACAUGAUUAAAGGUAUUCCGGUAGACGAUGGGGAUGCGUUCCAUUAGAUAGUAGGCGGGGUAACGGCCCACCUAGUCUUCGAUGGAUAGGGGUUCUGAGAGGAAGGUCCCCCACAUUGGAACUGAGACACGGUCCAAACUCCUACGGGAGGCAGCAGUGAGGAAUAUUGGUCAAUGGGCGAGAGCCUGAACCAGCCAAGUAGCGUGAAGGAUGACUGCCCUAUGGGUUGUAAACUUCUUUUAUAAAGGAAUAAAGUCGGGUAUGGAUACCCGUUUGCAUGUACUUUAUGAAUAAGGAUCGGCUAACUCCGUGCCAGCAGCCGCGGUAAUACGGAGGAUCCGAGCGUUAUCCGGAUUUAUUGGGUUUAAAGGGAGCGUAGAUGGAUGUUUAAGUCAGUUGUGAAAGUUUGCGGCUCAACCGUAAAAUUGCAGUUGAUACUGGAUAUCUUGAGUGCAGUUGAGGCAGGCGGAAUUCGUGGUGUAGCGGUGAAAUGCUUAGAUAUCACGAAGAACUCCGAUUGCGAAGGCAGCCUGCUAAGCUGCAACUGACAUUGAGGCUCGAAAGUGUGGGUAUCAAACAGGAUUAGAUACCCUGGUAGUCCACACGGUAAACGAUGAAUACUCGCUGUUUGCGAUAUACAGCAAGCGGCCAAGCGAAAGCGUUAAGUAUUCCACCUGGGGAGUACGCCGGCAACGGUGAAACUCAAAGGAAUUGACGGGGGCCCGCACAAGCGGAGGAACAUGUGGUUUAAUUCGAUGAUACGCGAGGAACCUUACCCGGGCUUAAAUUGCAGAUGAAUUACGGUGAAAGCCGUAAGCCGCAAGGCAUCUGUGAAGGUGCUGCAUGGUUGUCGUCAGCUCGUGCCGUGAGGUGUCGGCUUAAGUGCCAUAACGAGCGCAACCCUUAUC